GACGUAGGGUGCGAGCGUUGUCCGGAUUUAUUGGGCGUAAAGAGCUCGUAGGCGGUUUGGUAAGUCGGGUGUGAAAUCUCCACGCUCAACGUGGAGGGGCCACUCGAUACUGCCAUGACUCGAGUCCGGUAGAGGAGUGUGGAAUUCCCGGUGUAGCGGUGAAAUGCGCAGAUAUCGGGAAGAACACCAAUGGCGAAAGCAGCUUUCUGGGACGGUACUGACGCUGAGACGCGAAAGCGUGGGGAGCGAACAGG
rnacentral:rRNA from 1 species